CCAAAUGCAAAUAACUGGUGGAUGUGAAGAUACACAUGUUCUGAAAGGUGUCAGAAUUUCACUGGAUUGUCAAGAAAGGCUAACAUCAGAUCUGCUCGAAGAACUUUGUGGUAUAAGAGACCCCAUGGAGAUAGAUGCGACAGAUGUAAUAGCAGAGCUUUGUUCUUGAAGCUGUGUUCCCUCAUCCUGUUGAGCUUAUGCCCUGGCUUCAGAGAGGGACUGACAUUCAGUUCAGAUCUGAUUAAAUGAGAACCUUGACACCAGAGAACCAGAACCUAAAUAACUGAACUUUUCAGUUGUUACGACAUGACGUAAACCAGGAAAGUUUGAUGGAGAGAGAUCUUUGCCAAAGAGCAUAUAAAAAAUGUUACUUCUUUCUUGACAUUAUCAUUUUGAAAAGCUGCAUUUUUUUGCCAAAGUGGCAGAAAACAUUUGUUUCAUCUUUUUCUUCCCAACACAUUUCCUUAGAUGGAUGUCUUCAAUUACAUCAUCUGACUGGGGAAGGUUAAGAAGCAGUGUCCAAUUUUUUACAUAUAUCAGAGACCAGCAAACAUCACAGAAAGAAAUAUGCCCUACUCUUAUGUCACUUUGCAGCUGGCAUGCUGUUUAUUUUACAAAAACAUUACAAGGAUGCUCUCUAUGUGACAUGGAAAAAACAAGGAUGAUGAAAGUUCAGGACUGAAGUCCUUUUAUUCUGUGAGGACAAGGAGGCCUUUUCCAAUGCCUGUCUUCCUGCCUUUGACCCAUGCUGCCAGGAUACAUCCUGCCUUUAUGACAACUACCCGCACAAUGUUGGUGGUUUGACUGGGCCCGUUCACAUGUCUGAUUCAACAAAAACUUGUGGAGCUCAACAACAGAUGAGAGGCAGCAUCAGAGAAUUUCUUGCGUAAAUUAAGAAUUGCUGAGGACUGAACUGAGACUGAUCAUGGUGUUUCUUCAACAGCAGCCAGGAGGACUUCUGAUGUUCUGUAAUUCAGUUGGCAGUCAGCUUCUGGUCCAGAUGAAGGUUAUGCCCCAGGAGAUGUGUGAAGGCCAAGCAGAAUGACUUGUCCAUGUUCCUGGUUCUUAAACCUUGUUAAGUGCAACUGUCUGCCCUUGACACUGACAUGGCUCUUCCAGGCUCCUUGUGCUCUGUCACUUGUGUUUGUUGUGGUGGAUGUCAUCCUUGCAUCUGUCACCUUCCAUAUCCUGGACAGUAAGGCCUGAUUGGGCUUCAGCAACAUGUUUUUCACCCAAGGGCUGUGCAGCCCUCUACACUCUCCCGGCUUAAAUCAGUGCAUGCUGUGGGUGUCAAAGGUGCCUGUGUUAGCAGCACCUCUGCCCACCCUCCCGCCCCAAGCACACCCCCAGGAUGUGCUGUAGAUGGGUGCUCUGAGGGCUGACCACAGAAAGGCAACCUGAGGAAAGGACCCCUUCAAUGACUUUGGUACUCCUGCCACUUGGUUCACAAGUGGUGCCUGAGGGCUCAGAUCUGUUUAUAGGUGAGCAUGGCUCUGCCACUCUGAGCUCUGAAAGGAAAGCUUGAACCAAGCUCAUCCCUAGUCUUUCACCAGUGCUUGCUGUGACAAAUCUACUCUUACCUUUCUGUCCCACAGAGCAAUUGGCUCUGCCUUUUCAAGAAAAUGACAGCUUCAGCACCAGGCAUGGUUUGCAUGGACAUUUGUGGUGUUUAAUUUUGCACACAGGCUAUUUUAUUUCCUUCAGCUUUACUGAAAAAAGAGGAGGAAUAAAAUAAAAUUGUAUUGACCUUUCCACAAGACUGAAAAGAGCUUAUAAGACCUGACAGUUGCCCUUUUAUCACUUGACUUUCAUGAGAAAGAACUUCCAUUUCUCUCUGGGGCUUGGACCAGUUUAUAGAGCAUCAAUAUUAGCAGAUACUGGGGACAGUGUACAGCUGCUUGAAAAUCAGGACUGCAACAGGCUGUGGGGAUUAGAGGUCCAGGAAAUGAGAGCUGACUGAGUUUUGUGGUGUGAGCAGUGACCACAUCAAUCCACUUGAUGGAUUCCCACUGGCACCUUGGGAACCUUGGCAAUUUCUCCAGGUCCUGUAGCCACACUUUUCUCUCGGGCUGAGGAUCUUGAUAACAUGAGAGGACAACUGAAGUCACAUUUCCCUCAGUCUCCAGCAUGGAGAAAAAGCUAGGGAGGGGUGACAGCAGGCAGAUUUAACCAUGUCCCUACCCUGCCAAGUCCAGCCAUCAGCUGCUCCCCAGAGACUGGCUGGCUAUGAGCGUUUGGAAGAGAAAGCUGAUCUACAGCAAGAAGAGGAACCACCUUCUCAGAGACCAGUCCAAACGGAACACAAACUCCUUGACUCCUGGUUCUCUCGGCUGAUGCUGGGGGAAACACCUUACACAUGCUCAUUGUCCUGGGCAUGCUCUGAUGGGUUUGCUGUUCAGACAGGGAUGCCAAAAGACAUCUGUGACUUUUCAGGGUCCCACUUCAUGAGAAGCACAUCAAAACGCUGCUGUGACAUUCACCAUUAGUGCCUUGUCAAAGAGGUCUCAGCAGAAUUCUUUCACUAAGCAAAGCUAAUUCCUCCCUUAACUUACCAUUUAAGCAAUGCAAAAUCAUAAUUCAUUCGCAGUUCCCAAUAAGCCCUUUUUAAUAUAAACUAAAUCCUUGAACAGCUGCCCACUGAAGGUAUUCAAAGAGUCUCAGUAUCACCUUUUAACUCACCAGUGAUUUUCCUCUCAGUAAUGAUGGCUCCAGCAGGUGAAGGCAUUAAUUUUGUUAUUAGCAGAAAAUCCAGUGGUGCAUUUUUUUUUCCCCCAGAAAAUCUUUUUCAGAUUUUUUUCAUCAUGGCAGAUUGCUGAUUCAUUAAAAUUUUCGGUGAGUGAUGCUGACUUUUGCUCUCAAACACUCGGAUACUGAGAGACUUCCAGUAACUGGAUAUUGAACAUUUGAGGCCAUUUGCAGUCAAAACCCUUCUUAAUUCAAAAUCUUUUGAGUAUCUGGAAAAUAUUUGAAAUUUCAAGGAGAAAUUGGAUUUGAAUAUGAGCUUGUGCAUAACAUGAGGGUUUCCUCAACUUGUAGGAAUUCUUCAUUUCUAGAGGUACUCUUGUAAAACUACUUACUUGUUAUUUUUUGGGAUCUAAACUUUCAUCAUCUUCUGUGUUUCACAGUUCAAUAUAAUACUUUUCAGUGUACAAGGAAGAAAAGGAAAGGCUGAAGAAUUUCUGACUUUACUAAAACAGCUUCUGGUAAAGUCGCUUUUGCUCAGGGAAUGCCUGUUCCCUUGUCACACUGUUUUUACCAGAGUUCUGCAAAUUACUAAUACAAUUCUUGCUGACUGAAAGGAGCUACGUGUGUAUUCCUUGCCCUCACUCUUCUUACUACUACAGGGAUUUGGCAGUUUACCUGCAGUAUUUCAAAGGGUCAGAAGCGAAGUAUCAGUACAAAUAAAUUACUUCAAUAUGAGUAUAACUGCCCUUUAACGUAGACAGAUCCUGUGGUGUUUCUCUGUAUCCACAUAACCUCUGUGCUCCAGUGCACUUUGUAAAGAAAGAUUGAGAUGUACAAGUGAAUAUUUUGAAGCAAAAAUCUCCUUGACUGAAGAAUGAAUCGUCUUCAAAAAGUUUCUCUGUUUUUUUUUCAGUCCAAAUCCCAACAACCCCAAACUAUAUCAAAGUAAAGACAGACAGUAUUUGUCUCUCAGGGAGAUAUUUGCAUUGGUUGCACAUAGGUUAUUCCUGAGAAGAGCAGAACAGAUAUUUUGGAAAAUUGCAGCAUAUGUUGUAGCAUGCUAAGAGCAAUGCUCAUUUUCCUUUUGUCUUCAGUGGAGCAAGAGUGAGCUAUAUGCAUGCAGGUAAUCGAAACUCUGAGGUGGCCUUUUGAAGUGAAAGUGUUGAAAAGCAUGGGUCCCCAGGGAGCUGUGUGCAUUGUGGGGCACUUGCUUUGGAGGGUUAAUUUUGAAACCUAAGACUUGUACAUACUAUGUGCUUCUCGCAAUGUUGUCAAAGGGAAAGCAGAAGCCUCAGGCUCUGUAAUGCACAGGACUUGCUUAACCACAGUCUUCUAAGAGCUGUGAUAGAGAUAUUUUCUCAGGCUGAAAUAGGUAAAAACUCCUUUGGGAGGAGAUUCUGUUGUGCACAGACCUGUAGCAGUGUCAUUAAUGAAAUGAAAUCUUCCCCAGGAAACCCACUUAUUGCGACUUUUGGUGCAUUGGGUAUGGCCAAGGACACAAAGCCUGGAGCACUACCUUUUGCCCUCCUGGCUUGAUCUGAUAUGUAUAACGUCUAGCAAAAUCCUUGUGUUGCUGUGGCUCUGAUUUCCCUUCUUGCAUUUCUUUGGUGAGUGUGAUGCUCUAAAGAAGUCAGAUGUAUGUUCAUGGUCAACGUGGAACAUUGAAAAGCAAGAGCUUUAUCUUCACAUGUGUUACCAUGAAAACCAACAGGAACUUGGAAAUGUUUCUGUAAUGGGUCACUGGCUAUGGAUUUACUUUGUGAGGUGAAUUUUGUUGAUUAUCUUAAAUGAUUUUAGUCUCAUUUUUGCUCCCCGAAUAUAGAGAAGAUGUUUCAGCUGUAUAAUAAAUAAGCACACGUUACAAACAUCAA